AGUUCAGUGUCACGUUGUCUGUCUGUCUGUCUAUGCCGGACAGAGUCUCAGUCGGGAACCCAGCAGGUGCUCUCAUUACCCCUAUCCCACUGUGGGCACUAUCAGUCAGGCUUCCCUGCUUUCUCCGCUCUGCAGUGUGGCAUAAAACCGUGGGCAAUUCACAUCUAGACAAGGAACAGCAGGGGAGAAAUGAAGAGGCCAGUCUUAUUCAUUGACCACAGAGUCAGUUGUGGGUACUGACUGAUAAAUGGACUGAUAAAUGUCUUUGUGCUGCUUUUCGUCUCUAUGGGUUGAUGGACUCUCAAGAACACGGCAGACAAAUGACCCUCACCGUCCCCACCAUCCAACAGCUCCUCAAUCAGGGGCCCUGAAAAGCUCUUGAUCCCUAUAUAAAAAGAUUACUUCCAUCAGCAAUCACUUGCAGGCAUGGACAUAAUUAGUACGCUGGCCUCUGUCUGAAAGCUAAAUCCUUGGAUGAGGGUCACUCCACCUGCUCCUCCAGUCUCCACUGAGGAUCUCUGAGAGUUGUACUGGGUGGCACUGCAUAAGGAGGGGGUGAGAGCCAACAGGGGCUCUCUUGUUGCACAAACAGACGUUAUUUGAAUUAACCUCGCUUGCAGGUCACCGCCAGAAGAAUUCCCCUCUUCUCUGCCCCAAGAAAAGUUGGCGAGCUGUGAUUCCCUGAGUUCUUUUCUCUCUGUCUUCUGUGUCUCUUCUUGACAGUGGGAGAUAGAGUCUUUGUUCAAAUUGGGGGAGACUGUGCCAACAGUUGGCGUCCCUCAAGGGGGAUGGAUGCAGUGCAUGUCAGGCCUCGAUAGGACUUCAUCACGUUCAACAGGCAACCACUUCUCAUCCCAAAGCACAUAACCUCAGCCGCCCUCCCCUCCAUGCACCCUAUGCCCCAUUCCUGUUUGCAGCCUUAGCUCUGAAACUCAAUUCACCCAUAUCGCAUCCAUUAAGGUCUGAUUCAUGCUCCACUCGCAAGGGGCCGAGCACAGCUAUCCAUCUUGUCCCCUGCUCAAAGGGUGCUGUUUACCUUUUGCUGGCAGAUCUAGGGCUAUGCUUUUAAAAUGAUCCCAACCUGUAAACGCAUCAAAUUUUAACUAUGAUGUCACUCAAUGGAAAAAAAAACUUGUAUAUUUACCUGUCUACAGACCUCUGACUUUUUCUCAUUUUCAUGUCGUCAAAUGCAAGUAUUAUUAUUAUUUUUCCAUGUGGUUGUUCCCCUCCUCCACUUA